AUUGAACGCUGGCGGUAUGCUUUACACAUGCAAGUCGAACGGUAACAGGCCGCAAGGUGCUGACGAGUGGCGAACGGGUGAGUAAUGCAUCGGAGCGUGCCCAGUCGUGGGGGAUAACUACUCGAAAGAGUAGCUAAUACCGCAUACGAUCUAUGGAUGAAAGCGGGGGACCGUAAGGCCUCGCGCGAUUGGAGCGGCCGAUGUCAGAUUAGGUAGUUGGUGGGGUAAAGGCUCACCAAGCCAACGAUCUGUAGCUGGUCUGAGAGGACGACCAGCCACACUGGGACUGAGACACGGCCCAGACUCCUACGGGAGGCAGCAGUGGGGAAUUUUGGACAAUGGGCGCAAGCCUGAUCCAGCAAUGCCGCGUGCAGGAAGAAGGCCUUCGGGUUGUAAACUGCUUUUGUACGGAACGAAACGGCUCUGGUUAAUACCCGGGGCUAAUGACGGUACCGUAAGAAUAAGCACCGGCUAACUACGUG
rnacentral:rRNA from 1 species